rnacentral:rRNA from 1 species
AUACGGAGGAUCCGAGCGUUAUCCGGAUUUAUUGGGUUUAAAGGGUGCGCAGGCGGCCAUUUAAGUCAGAGGUUAAAUCGUGGGGCUCAACCCCAUUCUGCCGUUGAUACUGGGUGGCUUGAUUGCGGUCGAGGUUGGCGGAAUUCGUUGUGUAGCGGUGAAAUGCAUAGAUAUGACGAAGAACACCGAUUGCGUAGGCAACUGACCAGACCGCAAAUGACGCUCAUGCACGAAAGAGCUGGGAUCGAACAGGAUUAGAUACCCUGGUAGUCCGCACAGUAAACGAUGAAUACUUGUUUUCGGCGAUAUAAUGUCGGAGGCAAAGCGAAAGCGAUAAGUAUUCCGCCUGGGGAGUACGCCGGCAACGGUGAAACUCAAAGGAAUUGACGGGG